ensembl:lncRNA
UGUGUCGCCGUGCUAUUCGAUGGAGGCGACCAGCUGAUUAGAUGAUGACGGCUGAUUUCAUGGCGCCCGAAAAAUGCCAACGAGGAAGUCAUGGGAUGAGACAAAAACAAGGAGGGUCUCUGGCAGCAUCUGUUCAUUCAGGAAUAAGAAGCAACUCGGAAAAUAUAUCUGCAUGGAGGCUGACGAGGUGCAGGAAUGUGAAGAAGCAGUCAUGAUUCAUUCCAGAGCGUGCAUUGAUUACACGCCAAAUGAACAUACGUUGCAUGCUAAUUUCCUUCCCGGGUCCUCGAGAGCAAACACCACUGUGAGAGUACGCAGUGUAAACACCUCCAUAGCAAUAACACGUCGGUGCUGAGCCACCUGAGGUCCAUCACACUGCAGAAAAAGUAGAACUGCAU